rnacentral:misc_RNA from 1 species
GGGUGAUGGAACAGACAUUGGCCAAGGGCAAACAAAUUCAAGAUGACUGCUCAUCCGUUGUCAAAAAGCUUCGUGCUAUGCUUCACUCAACAGAGGAACAACUGCGAGUUCAUAAGAAGCAGACGGUGUUUCUCACACAACUUGCAGCGAAAACCCUUCCGAAAGGUCUACAUUGUCUUCCUCUACGACUUUCCACCGAGUACUAUUCAUUGGAUUCUGAACAUCAACAAUUUCUGAAUCAAGAAAAACUCGAGGAUCCCAAACUUCAUCACUAUGCAUUAUUCUCGGAUAAUAUCCUGGCAGCGGCAGUAGUCGUGAACUCCACGGUGUUCAAUGCCAAGCAUCCAGCAGACCAUGUUUUUCACAUCGUAACCGAUAGGCUUAAUUAUGCGGCAAUGAGGAUGUGGUUUUUAGCUAACCCACCGAGGAAA